rnacentral:rRNA from 1 species
UACGAAGGACCCAAGCGUUAUCCGGAUUUAUUGGGUUUAAAGGGUGCGUAGGCGGAUUAUUAAGUCAGUGGUGAAAGCCUGCAGCUUAACUGCAGAACUGCCAUUGAUACUGAUGAUCUUGAGUAUGAUUGAGGUGGGCGGAAUGUGUCAUGUAGCGGUGAAAUGCUUAGAUAUGACACAGAACACCGAUUGCGAAGGCAGCUCACUAAGCCAUAACUGACGCUGAUGCACGAAAGCGUGGGGAUCAAACAGG